CCGGCGGCCAUCAUUUCUUUCGCUCUCCUCUUAUUUUCUUAUUAACCAAACUGCGUGAGCACUGCUCAAUCGAAGCGGAUUACUCAAAGAGAGCGGACGCAUGGGCGAGCAAUUUAUUUAAAAAGCUGAGCGGACUAACACAAAAGCAAACGGAUUAACACAAAAACACACAAGGACUAACUUUAAAAUCAGUGCUCAAUCGAAGCGGACUACUCAAAGAGAACGGAUGCGUGGACGACUGAUUUAUUCAAAAAUCUGACCGAAGUAAACACGAAUUGAGACCAAAACACAAGGAUUUACAUUAAAAUCAGCCGAAGCGAACGGCUCGCUCACUCGGCGAAAAAAAGGAAAUGUUUAAUUUAAAGAAAAUAUCGUAAUAAUCUAAAUCUAAGAAAUACUGUUUAAGUAUUUACUAAUAAUCUUCUUUUUAUUCCAA